CUAAACUUUUAGAAGGAAUAAAAGGUGAAAUCUCAUCAAUAGUGUGAUAUUGAGCCCUGGUAAAAUUCUAGGGCUCAAUGUUUAUGGAGUUAUUAAACAGAUGACUUGGUUUAAAACAUUGACUUUUCUAUGAAUGAUCUCGUAUUUUCUGCUCUGUUUAUGCGUUUAUAUUUUACAACAUACAGAUUAUGUCUUAGGCCUCCACACCCAGCCAAGAUAGACCUUUCAACAAAUGGUGCUAGAGCAAUUGGACAUUCAUAGGCAAAAACAAACUCAACUUGAAUGAACCUCACACUUUGUACAAAAAUGUACUUAAAAUGGAUCACAUGCUUAAAUGUAAAAUAUAAAACUGUAAACCCUUUUGGGAAAAAAAUAGGAGAAAAUCUUCAUGAUCUAGGGUUAUGCAAAGCAUUCUUUCUUUGACUUGACACAAAAAACACAAUGUAUAAAAGAAAAAUGGAUAAAUUGGACUUCAUCAAAAUUAAAAAUUGCUGCUCUGCAAAAGCCCACAUGUAGGGGCUGAAAAGUCCAGCUACAGACUAGGAGGAAAAUAUUUGCAAACUGUGUAUCUUGACAAAGGACUAGUACCUGGAAUAUAUAAAGAACCUGAACACUCAGCAGUUUUUUGAAAAAUUCAAUUAGAAAAUGGGCAAAGACAUAGACAGACAUUUCAUUGAAGAGGAUAUACAGAUGGCUAAGAAGCACAUGAAAAAGAUGUUCAACAUCAUUAGCCAGGGAAAUGCAAAUUACAACCACAUGAGAUAUCAUUGCAUACCUAUUAGAAUGGCUAAAAUUAAAAAUAAUGAUAACACCAAAUCUGCUAGUUGUUUCUUUUAUGAUUUUCUUUUUUAAUGUGUACUGUGCACCGUUGUUUUUACUGUGAUUUUACUAAAGAGUGUCCUUAAACAUUUUACAAACAUUCGUAAUAGGUAACACUCUUCAUAAUAAAAAGGAAUAACCUUGUCUGAAUUUUUGGAAGACAGGUUUUUAGGUUUUUGUUUUUGCCUUUCCUCCAAUUCUUUGUUGAUUUACUUUGUCAUUUUAAUAACCCUCUUUUUAUGAUUUAUUUUCUCUUUAUUAUUCCUUUGUGUUCUUCGAGUUUUCUUUAAUUAGAUUUAUCAGUAAAGCCCUUUAGCAGCUAGUACUAU
rnacentral:lncRNA from 10 species